AUGGCUGGUGGAGGCGGCAGCGGUCGUGGGACUCCUUUCAAAUAUCUUGGAAUCUCGGUUGAAGGGAAUCACCGAAAUCUGCAUUUGUGGAAGGGUGUGAUCAACGUGGUGAGAGGAAAAUUGGCAUCGUGGAAUAAUAGACAUUUGUCAAUCGGAGGUCGUGUUGUACUAAAAUCAAUUUUGAGCUCAAUUCUAGUUUAUCAGUCGUCAAUCUUCAAAGCUUCCGUAGACAUUAUUUCUAAAUUGAAAUCAUUGUUCAAGAACUUUUUGUGGGGUGGGGGAUUGGAGAGAAGAAAGGUGAAUUGGGUGCAAUGGGAGAAAAUAUGUCGGAAAAAAAAGAUGGGAGUUUGA